UUGCGCGGCAAAGGGGAGUAACUUCAUUGCCGGUUUGCCGUCAUUACGGUGCGAAAGCACCCGGUUACCGGGCACCUCAUUAAUGUACGGGCGUCUGUUUAGAUG
rnacentral:misc_RNA from 4 species